rnacentral:tRNA from 1 species
GCGAGAGUGGCGGAAUUGGCAGACGCACCAGACUUAGGAUCUGGCGCCGCAAGGCGUGGGGGUUCGAGUCCCCCCUUUCGCACCA